CCCGGCGAGGCCGGCGUCGUUCUGGACGUCGUUGGCCACGACGCAUCUAACGAUUGCGGCUCCGUGAAGCUGCCUGGUCGGCCAGAGGGUGCACCACCACCACAUUCACCCGAGUCGCCAACAAGAGUUUCGGUUGGGGAGAUUCCAGGGACAAGCGGUGCAUCCAGACACCAAGCUGCACCACCAGCUUCCGGGCUUUUGUCACCUGGAAAUGAGGGCACGACCGACACAUCCGUUCCCAGCCAGCCAACCACCCUUGCACAGUGUCCUGUACGGGCACCACGGCGU